UACGUAGGGUGCGAGCGUUAAUCGGAAUUACUGGGCGGAAAGCGUGCGCAGGCGGUUUUGUAAGCCAGAUGGGAAAGCCCCGGGCUCAACCUGGGAAUGGCAUUUGGGACUGCAAGGCUGGAGUUUGGCAGAGGAGACUGGAAUUCCCGGUGUAGCAGUGAAAUGCGUAGAUAUCGGGAGGAAUACCGAUGGCGAAGGCAGGUCUCUGGGCUAUAACUGACGCUCAUGCACGAAAGCGUGGGGAGCAAACAGG
rnacentral:rRNA from 1 species